CAGGACGAACGCUGGCGGCGUGCCUAAUACAUGCAAGUCGAACGGUCUUUCUAUGGAAGCUUGCUUCCACUGAGAAGAUAGUGGCGAACGGGUGAGUAACACGUGGGUAACCUGCCCAUAAGAGGGGGGAUAACAUCCGGAAACGGGUGCUAAUACCGCAUAGUUUUCUUGAUCGCAUGAUCGGGAAAGGAAAGACGGCCUUUGUGCUGUCGCUUAUGGAUGGACCCGCGGCGUAUUAGUUAGUUGGUGAGGUAACGGCUCACCAAGACGAUGAUACGUAGCCGACCUGAGAGGGUGAUCGGCCACAUUGGGACUGAGACACGGCCCAAACUCCUACGGGAGGCAGCAGUAGGGAAUCUUCCGCAAUGGACGAAAGUCUGACGGAGCAACGCCGCGUGAGUGAAGAAAGGGUUUUCGGAUCGUAAAACUCUGUUGUCAGAGAAGAACAAGUUGGAGAGUAACUGCUCCAGCCUUGACGGUAUCUGACCAGAAAGCCACGGCUAACUACGUGCCAGCCGCUGC
rnacentral:rRNA from 1 species